rnacentral:rRNA from 1 species
UAGGCGGUUUGUCGCGUCUGCUGUGAAAUCCGGAGGCUCAACCUCCGGCCUGCAGUGGGUACGGGCAGACUAGAGUGCGGUAGGGGAGAUUGGAAUUCCUGGUGUAGCGGUGGAAUGCGCAGAUAUCAGGAGGAACACCGAUGGCGAAGGCAGAUCUCUGGGCCGUAACUGACGCUGAGGAGCGAAAGGGUGGGGAGCAAACAGGCUUAGAUACCCUGGUAGUCCACCCCGUAAACGUUGGGAACUAGUUGUGGGGUCCAUUCCACGGAUUCCGUGACGCAGCUAACGCAUUAAGUUCCCCGCCUGGGGAGUACGGCCGCAAGGCUAAAACUCAAAGGAAUUGACGGGGACCCGCACAAGCGGCGGAGCAUGCGGAUUAAUUCGAUGCAACGCGAAGAACCUUACCAAGGCUUGACAUAUACGAGAACGGGCCAGAAAUGGUCAACUCUUUGGACACUCGUAAACAGGUGGUGCAUGGUUGUCGUCAGCUCGUGUCGUGAGAUGUUGGGUUAAGUCCCGCAACGAGCGCAACCCUCGUUCUAUGUUGCCAGCACGUAAUGGUGGGAACUCAUGGGAUACUGCCGGGGUCAACUCGGAGGAAGGUGGGGAUGACGUCAAAUCAUCAUGCCCCUUAUGUCUUGGGCUUCACGCAUGCUACAAUGGCCGGUACAAAGGGCUGCAAUACCGCGAGGUGGAGCGAAUCCCAAAAAGCCGGUCCCAGUUCGGAUUGAGGUCUGCAACUCGACCUCAUGAAGUCGGAGUCGCUAGUAAUCGCA